UUUCCUGUUUAGUGUUCAGUAUUCCAUGGAGAUUCUAUAAUGGAGAGGGAGAGAUUCAGCAAUGGAAUUGGUAAAAUUUUGUAUCCUAGCAAAGCAUGAAACCCCACAAUUUGCUUCUCGAUUUCUCAGUCCUCUCUCUGUAAACCGCUUUCAGAAACAGACAAAAGUUUUGGCACGGCUCUGGGACUUAUACUAUUACCUGCCUUAUUUCCCUUCGCUCAUUUCACGCCAAGUCGCCAACCACAGCUUAUGUGUUCUUAAGAUCAGAGCUCUAAAAUGUCAAUGGCAAACCAUUUCAAGAAGGUUGUAUCUGCUGUUAUCCUUGAUUUAGAUGGUACCCUUCUCAAUACAGAUGGAGUAGUAAAUGAUGUUCUAAAAGGUUUUUUGGUCAAAUAUGGGAAACAAUGGGAUGGAAGAGAAGCUAAUAAAAUAGUUGGGAAGACCCCUUUGGAAGCUGCUGCUACUAUAGUGGAAGAUUACGGGCUUCCUUGUGCAGCAGAGGCAUUUAUUGCAGAAAUUACUCCUGUGUUCUCUGAUCAGUUGUGCAAAAUAAAGGCACUUCCAGGUGCCAAUCGGUUGAUUAAACAUUUGAGUGGUAAUAAUAUACCGAUGGCAUUGGCUUCAAACUCUCCAAAGGCAAGCGUAGAAUCCAAAAUUUCAUAUCAACAAGGCUGGCAGAAAUCCUUCUCUGUUAUUAUUGGUGGUGAUGAAGUAAGGGCUGGGAAACCAUCUCCUGAAAUAUUUUUGGAAGCAGCUAAAAGGCUAAAUGUCAAACCCUCCAGUUGCCUAGUCAUUGAAGAUUCUUUGCCAGGUGUUAUGGGUGGUAAGGCCGCUGGAAUGGAAGUGGUUGCAGUACCAUCACUUCCUAAACAAUCCCAUCUUUAUACAGCAGCAGAUGAAGUGAUAAACUCUCUACUUGAUUUGCAACCUGAAAAUUGGGGCCUGCCUGCGUUCAAAGAUUGGAUUGAGGGUACCUUGCCCAUGGAACCUUGGCAUGUUGGUGGUCCUGUAAUUAAGGGAUUUGGUCGUGGCUCAAAGGUCCUUGGGAUCCCCACUGGUAUUUCAGAUUUAACCAUUUAUGCAGCUUUGCUAAAUAUCAAUUUCCUAUUUAGUCUUCUGUUGCAUCUGCUAAUCUAUCGACAGAAGGUUAUUCAGAAAUGCUUUCGGAACAUCCUUCCGGAGUUUAUUUUGGUUGGGCUGGAUUAUCAACACGUGGUGUGUAUAAAAUGGUUAUGAGUAUCGGUUGGAACCCAUAUUUUAACAACGCAGAAAAGACUAUAGAGCCAUGGCUGCUUCAUGAAUUUGAAGAAGAUUUCUAUGGUGAGGAAUUGCGUCUCGUUAUAGUUGGCUAUAUUCGACCAGAGGCUAACUUCAAAUCACUUGAAAGCUUGAUAGCAAAGAUUCACGAGGACGGAAGAUGUGCAGAGAGAGCCCUGGAUCUUCCACUAUACUCAAAAUAUAGGGACGAUCCAUACUUGAGAGGAUCUUCAUUGUGGUGAGAUGAUAUGCAAAUCUCUUGUAAACCUAAUGGGCAUGAAAUGAUGCCAUAGGAGGGUCAUAUUGUUGUCAAUUUGUGAUGGGUCAUGGAUAUGAACCACUAAUAAAUAAAAUUACAUUGACUGAAAAUUUUGUCCAUUA